rnacentral:rRNA from 1 species
UACGGCUCAGUAACACGUGGAUAACCUGCCCUAAGGAAGGGGAUACCCUCGGGAAACUGAGGAUAAUACCCUAUAGGUUACCGAUGCUGGAAUGCUCGGUAACUCAAAGUUCCGGCGCCUUAGGAUGGAUCUGCGGCCGAUUAGGUAGUUGUUGGGGUAACGGCCCAACAAGCCCGUAAUCGGUACGGGUUGUGGGAGCAAGAGCCCGGAGUUGGAUUCUGAGACACGAAUCCAGGCCCUACGGGGCGCAGCAGGCGCGAAAACUUUACAAUGCGGGCAACCGUGAUAAGGGAACCUCGAGUGCCUGUACAUGCAGGCUGUCUGGGUGUCUAAAACACACCCAAAGAAAGGGCCGGGCAAGACCGGUGCCAGCCGCCGCGGUAAUACCGGCGGCUCGAGUGGUGGCCACUUUUAUUGGGCUUAAAGCGUUCGUAGCUGGGUUGUUAAGUCUCUUGGGAAAUCCGGCGGCUUAACCGUCGGGCGUCUAAGAGAUACUGGCAAUCUUGGAACCGGGAGAGGUGAGGGGUACUUCGGGGGUAGGAGUGAAAUCCUGUAAUCCUCGAGGGACCACCUGUGGCGAAGGCGCCUCACCAGAACGGCUUCGACAGUGAGAGACGAAAGCUGGGGGAGCAAACCGGAUUAGAUACCCGGGUAGUCCCAGCCGUAAACGAUGUGCGUUAGGUGUUUCGACGACCACGAGUCGUCGAGGUGCCGAAGGGAAACCGUGAAACGUACCGCCCUGGAAGU